CCAGACUCCUACGGGAGGCAGCAGUGGGGAAUAUUGGGCAAUGGACGCAAGUCUGACCCAGCAACGCCGCGUGAAGGAAGAAGGCUUUCGGGUUGUAAACUUCUUUUAAGGGGGAAGAGCAGAAGACGGUACCCCUUGAAUAAGCCCCGGCUAACUACGUGCCAGCAGCCGCGGUAAUACGUAGGGGGCAAGCGUUAUCCGGAUUUACUGGGUGUAAAGGGAGCGUAGACGGCGGCGCAAGUCCGGAGUGAAAGCCCACGGCCCAACCGUGGGACUGCUCUGGAAACUGUGCGGCUUGAGUGCGGGAGGGGCAGGCGGAAUUCCUAGUGUAGCGGCGAAAUGCGUAGAUAUUAGGAGGAACACCGGCGGCGAAGGCGGCCUGCUGGACCGUAACUGACGUUGAGGCUCGAAAGCGUGGGGAGCAAACAGGAUUAGAUACCCUUGUAAGA
rnacentral:rRNA from 1 species